rnacentral:lncRNA from 1 species
AUCCGCACCGCGGGGCGCGCGCCGGGGGCGGGGCCACGGAGGGGAGAGGCGGGGCAGUGAGAAAGGCCCCGCCCCCCGCACCGACACCGACACCGACACCGGCACCGGCACCGGCACCGGCACCGGCCCCGGCCCCGGCCCCGGUCCCGGGCCCGCUGCAGGCGCCCGCCGGGAAGGGCUACGGCGGCGCCGGGGGUCACCGGGCGGCUCGGUACGGCGCAGGGCCAGGCCGGGCUGUUCGGGAUGGUACCGUACAGUAACGGUGCGGUACGGUGGGGCACGGCACGGCACGGCGCGGUGAGCUCGGUACAGUCUGGCAUGGCACGCUGGAGACUGUGUCCUCUGGUUCUGUCAGUGCUGCCUGGUGGAAGAGACCGACCCCACCUGUGUACAACUUCCCUUCAGGAAGGAGUGGAGAGCAAUAAGUUCACCUCUGAGUGUCCUUUUCUCCAGGCUGAAUACCCCCAGCUCCGUCAGCCGUUCCUCUCAGGGUUUGCGUUCCCAGCCCCUCUCCAGCCUUGCUGGCUCCUCUGGACGCGCUCAAGCAUCUCAAGAUCCUUCCCAAACGGAGGCCCAAAAACCGGACCCAGUGAGAGGUUUGGAUGCCCAGUUUACCCGGAAUCAGCCGCUUUGGAGCCGGGAGCAAAGCCGUGCUGCCCAUGGGAGCAGGGCCGUGCCGAGCCGUGCCGUGCCGUGCCAGCUUUCCAGUGCCUCCGGACGCAGCCGGGGCCGCAUCGUCAGGGAUGGGAGAGGGAGGACGUGCGGCGUUUGAAGGAAAAGCCACCCUGCAGGAUUCAUGGGAAGGCAUUUGCAUGAUAAAGCAGGGAGCCCUUUGCUUUGGGUAAAUCUGUAAUUAAUACUGAAUCGUUGUGUAAUUAAAAGCUACCGGCAUGGAAAACUCCAACAGAAGCCAAGCGUGGCUUGGGAAAUGGAAUUAAAGCCAAAAGAAAUAGGGGGAGAAGAAAGAUGAAGUGUUUGGGAAAUGGUGUCAGAGCCCUCUGGGAGGGUUGGAAUUUCUGGCUUGUGCAGUGUGGAAGCAGGAUAAGGUGGGGAGCUGGGAUGGAGAGCAGACAGAACCCUUCCCCUGCCACCUGAAGCAGGGCUGUGCCCCUCUUUCCCCGUGGAUAAUCCAUUCCCGCGGGUCUCAGCUCUCAUACGCAAAAAAUAAAAUUCCUUACAAAGCCA